GCAUUGGUGGUUCAGUGGUAGAAUGCUUGCCUUUCAUGUGGGAGACCUGGGUUUGAUUCCCAGCCAAUGUC
rnacentral:tRNA from 2 species